rnacentral:rRNA from 1 species
GACGAACGCUGGCGGCGUGCUUAACACAUGCAAGUCGUACGGUAAGGCCCUUUCGGGGGUACACGAGUGGCGAACGGGUGAGUAACACGUGAGUAACCUGCCCACAACUUUGGGAUAACGCUAGGAAACUGGUGCUAAUACUGGAUAUGUGCUCCUGCUGCAUGGUGGGGGUUGGAAAGCUCCGGCGGUUGUGGAUGGACUCGCGGCCUAUCAGCUUGUUGGUGGGGUAGUGGCCUACCAAGGCGGCGACGGGUAGCCGGCCUGAGAGGGUGACCGGCCACAUUGGGACUGAGAUACGGCCCAGACUCCUACGGGAGGCAGCAGUGGGGAAGAUUGCACAAUGGGCGCAAGCCUGAUGCAGCAACGCCGCGUGCGGGAUGACGGCCUUCGGGUUGUAAACCGCGUUCAGCAGGGACGAAGCUUUUUGUGACGGUACCUGCAGAAGAAGCACCGGCUAACUACGUG